UCUGCUGUCACACAUGUCUGCCGUUGUACUUCCAUCUGUUAUGGGGUCCUCAAGAGCUGAGCUGAUGCUGGGGCCAUGAGCUUGAACCUCCACAACUACCCAACACCAUGGUGGUGACCCAACGCCACCUAACACCAGACCCAACAACCAACACCCAACACCAGGACUGAAUGGCAGCUGUCUUGAUGAACAGGUCACUGAAUGAGCCACACACCUGCAGAACAUGGGAGCCCAGUGUGCUGUCCGGGGUGGUGCACAGCAUGAUAAGCCCUCACAUCAGCCUGUGGUGAGGAGCAGUGACUUCUCAGGCAGGCAAGAGGAGCAGCCUAUCUGGGGCACGGAUGCUGGAGAACACAUUAAAGCAAUGCACUCACUCUGUAGACCCUGCUGCUAAGACCACCAGGUAUCCCUGGCCUUCUGGA